UAGGGAAUAUUGCACAAUGGGCGAAAGCCUGAUGCAGCAACGCCGCGUGCGCGAUGAAGGCCUUCGGGUUGUAAAGCGCUUUUCUGGAGGACGAGGAAGGACGGUACUUCAGGAAGAAGGAUCGGCUAACUACGUGCCAGCAGCCGCGGUAAAACGUAGGAUCCGAGCGUUAUCCGAAUUCACUGGGCGUAAAGCGCGUGUAGGCGGCUUUGUAAGUUGGAUGUGAAAUCUCCCGGCUCAACUGGGAGGGACGUUCAAGACUGCAAGGCUAGAGGGCAGUAGAGGGAGGCGGAAUUCCCGGUGUAGUGGUGAAAUGCGUAGAUAUCGGGAGGAACACCAGAGGCGAAGGCGGCCUCCUGGACUGCAACUGACGCUCGGACGCGAAAGCUAGGGGAGCAAA
rnacentral:rRNA from 1 species